rnacentral:pre_miRNA from 11 species
UUUCAGUGCAACAAGCUCAGUGCAACUGUAAGACCCCCGAAGGGAGACCCUCACUCAAAUCUCGGGAAUAGCGCGCACCCAGUGAGUCACCGAGACCC